CAGAGCAUCCUACGGGAGGCAGCAGUGGGGAAUAUUGCACAAUGGGCGCAAGCCUGAUGCAGCCAUGCCGCGUGUAUGAAGAAGGCCUUCGGGUUGUAAAGUACUUUCAGCAGUGAGGAAGGUGGGUAUGUUAAUAGCAUACUCAUUUGACGUUAGCUGCAGAAGAAGCACCGGCUAACUCCGUGCCAGCAGCCGCGGUAAUACGGAGGGUGCGAGCGUUAAUCGGAAUUACUGGGCGUAAAGCGCAUGCAGGUGGUUUGUUAAGUCAGAUGUGAAAGCCCGGGGCUCAACCUCGGAAUUGCAUUUGAAACUGGCAAACUAGAGUACUGUAGAGGGGGUAGAAUUUCAGGUGUAGCGGUGAAAUGCGUAGAGAUCUGAAGGAAUACCGGUGGCGAAGGCGGCCCCCUGGACAGAUACUGACACUCAGAUGCGAAAGCGUGGGGAGCAAACAGGAUUAGAUACCCUGGUAG
rnacentral:rRNA from 1 species